rnacentral:rRNA from 1 species
CGCGUAGGUGGUAGUGCAAGUCUGAUGUGGAAUCUUAGGGCUUAACCCUAAAACUGCAUUGGAAACUGUAUUACUUGAGUCAGUGAGGGGAGGGUAGAAUUCCCGGUGUAGCGGUGAAAUGCGUAGAUAUCGGGAGGAAGGCCUGUGGCGAAGGCGGCCCUCUGGCGCUGAACUGACACUGAGGCGCGAAAGCGUGGGUAGCAAACAGGAUUAGAUACCCUGGUAGUCCACGCCCUAAACGGUGGGUACUAGGUGUAGGGCUCGUAAGGGUUCUGUGCCGAAGCGAAAGCAUUAAGUACCCCGCCUGGGGAGUACGGCCGCAAGGUUGAA